AUACAUGGUCUUGUAGAGUCCGACGCAUUGAAUUGAAAGGAUAUUCAUGAUCUUUUAUAAGAAAGAGUCAGGUUCCAAACAGCAAAAUAAGAUUGUGUGGUAAAACCAGCCAACAGGGCUGUCCCACAUGGUCUCUGAACCUUUGAGCAAACG
rnacentral:lncRNA from 1 species